AAAUUGAAGAGUUUGAUCAUGGCUCAGAUUGAACGCUGGCGGCAGGCCUAACACAUGCAAGUCGAACGGUAACAGGAAGCAGCUUGCUGCUUCGCUGACGAGUGGCGGACGGGUGAGUAAUGUCUGGGAAACUGCCUGAUGGAGGGGGAUAACUACUGGAAACGGUGGCUAAUACCGCAUAACGUCGCAAGACCAAAGAGGGGGACCUUCGGGCCUCUUGCCAUCAGAUGUGCCCAGAUGGGAUUAGCUUGUUGGUGAGGUAACGGCUCACCAAGGCGACGAUCCCUAGCUGGUCUGAGAGGAUGACCAGCCACACUGGAACUGAGACACGGUCCAGACUCCUACGGGAGGCAGCAGUGGGGAAUAUUGCACAAUGGGCGCAAGCCUGAUGCAGCCAUGCCGCGUGUAUGAAGAAGGCCUUCGGGUUGUAAAGUACUUUCAGCGGGGAGGAAGGUGUUGCGGUUAAUA
rnacentral:rRNA from 1 species